rnacentral:rRNA from 1 species
UCCAGCAGCCAUAUCACUCUGCAACUCACAACUGGCAGCCCACUGAAGCAAAGCAGGUGUGAGCCUGGUCAGUACCUGGAUGGGAGACCUCCUGGGAAAAACUAAGGUUGCUGCUGGAA